rnacentral:rRNA from 1 species
UUAUACUAUUUGAAAAAUAGGGUCGGUUCGGCCGGAUUUUCACACAGGUGUUGCAUGGCUGUCGUCAGCUCGUGUCGUGAGAUUGUUGGGUUAAGUCCCGCAACGAGCGUAACCCUCAUCCUUAGUUGCCAUCAGGUAAUGCUGAGCACUUUAAGGAAACUGCUAGUGAUAAACUGGAGGAAGGUGGGGAUGAUGUCAAGUCAUCAUGGCCCUUAUGGAGUGGGCUACACACGUGCUACAAUGGUGGCUACAAUGGGCUGCAAAGUCGCGAGGCCAAGCUAAUCCCUUAAAAGCCAUCUCAGUUCGGAUUGUACUCUGCAACUCGAGUGCAUGAAGUUGGAAUCGCUAGUAAUCGUGGAUCAGCAUGCCACGGUGAAUACGUUCUCGGGUCUUGUACACACUGCCCGUCACGCCAUGGGAAUUGGUUUCACUCGAAGCUAAUGACCUAACCGCAAGGAGGGAGUUAUUUAAAGUGGGAUCAGUGACUGGGGUGAAGUCGUAACAAGGUAGGCGUACUACA